rnacentral:rRNA from 1 species
AGAGUUGAUCAUGGCUCAGGAUGAACGCUGGCGGCGUGCCUAACACAUGCAAGUCGAACGGGGUUAUAUUAUGAAGUUUUCGGAUGGAAUAAGUAUAACUUAGUGGCGGACGGGUGAGUAACGCGUGGGUAACCUGCCUCAUACAGGGGGAUAACAGCUGGAAACGGCUGCUAACACCGCAUAAGCAUACAGCAUCGCAUGAUGCAGUGUGAAAAUAUUAAUAGGUAUGAGAUGGGCCCGCGUCUGAUUAGCUGGUUGGUAAGGUAACGGCUUACCAAGGCGACGAUCAGUAGCCGGCUUGAGAGAGUGACCGGCCACAUUGGGACUGAGACACGGCCCAAACUCCUACGGGAGGCAGCAGUGGGGAAUAUUGCACAAUGGGGGAAACCCUGAUGCAGCGACGCCGCGUGAGUGAAGAAGUAUUUCGGUAUGUAAAGCUCUAUCAGCAGGGAAGAAAAUGACGGUACCUGACUAAGAAGCCCCGGCUAACUACGUGCCAGCCGCCGC